GUGUGGUUGCAGCUGGCCAGAGCCCAUUAAAGGGGCUGGUUUCCAUGGGGCUGGGGAUGUGGGAAGCAUGUGCUGAAAUCAGGAUGCUAUCUGCUAUAAUCCUGCUCUUUUCAAAACACAGAAAAGCGUGACGUUUUCAUGAGACCAGUCAAAAUUUUCAGCGUUCUCUCCUGGUUCAAAGCCCAGCAUUUUACCAAAAUGACAAUUCUGUGCUGUAUGAAAUCACUAGGAACUAACUGGUACAAAGAAUGCUAUGUGCUACUGACAAAAGCCUUUUCAUCACUUACAGCCAGCAGUCUGGACCUCCCUCAGAUGUACCUAUCGUCCCCACAACAUGGCACAGCACCACCCAUUGCUGCUGCAUUCAGAAGACAUGCUGUAGCUGUUGUCUGGAAUCUGUACCGACUUUAAAAUUAUUGCCUCUAGACAUCUUGCUCGUUGUGCUUGUAUCACCUUCAUGGUACGUCGGAUGUUUCCUGCAGGUUUCAUAAAUGUUUUAUGAGCCCCUGAUGACUGCAUCGCUGAGCAGGGUGGUGGCAGCUGCCUCCAACUUUGUGCCUUGUUGACAAAAGAUCAAAGACCAGAUUUACUACCCCGAUAAGAUUGGAUGGAUAUGAAUCCUGGGCUGACUUUUCCCCUGUUUCCUGCAGUGACAAGCACAUUGCAGAACUUAUUGACAGAGCAAUUCUGCCACGGGGGGCUCAAUCUUGAAACCUUGUUUGGACAACAAUCCUACCAAUUUCACAGAAUCACAGGACGGCUGAAGUGGGAAGGGACCUCUGGAGGUCAUCUCGUCCAACCUCUGCUCCAGCAGGGACGCCCAGAAUAGGGUACCCAGAGCCACGUCCAGGUGGCUUUGGGAGAUGUCCAAGGAUGAGACACCCCACAGCUUCUCUGGGCAACAACCCUUCUCCUGGGCUUUGUGGAGAUCCCUAGAAAUGAGCCAUGAAGUCUGAAAACACUGUUGAUUUAGGGCAAACCUCCCCUUUGAAAUUCCCCUUUCAGAGACCCACUGCACAAAGGAGCUCUGAAAUGAUGUUGAUGUUGGUGGGAUCAGAUCAGUUUUCCCUUUUUUCUCCCCAAUUUUUCAAAGCUUUUUGGCACAAGGCCUUUCUCCAGCCAUAGCAGAGCUCUGGCUUGCUCCUGUCUGUGAUGCUGUGGAGCAGGCUCUGAAGCCUCGUGGUGUCCCAUGGCCUGGGCCCAACGUAGGCAGCGGCUGGGAAUGCAGGCUGUGUGAUGGAGGCUGGCUGAGCCCAUCACACAACACACUUGAUUUUAUCAGGUCUGAUUUUCUAACAGCUCAUUCCCAGGAAGUACCCGGGGUUGCACUGAGCUGAGGCUUGAGGUGGUAUUUGGACUGCAGAAGGAAACUCCACCAGAGCCUCUAUUUCC
ensembl:lncRNA